rnacentral:rRNA from 1 species
GACGGAGGAUGCAAGUGUUAUCCGGAAUCACUGGGCGUAAAGCGUCUGUAGGUGGUUUAAUAAGUCAACUGUUAAAUCUUGAGGCUCAACCUCAAAAUCGCAGUCGAAACUAUUAGGCUAGAGUAUAGUAGGGGUAAAGGGAAUUUCCAGUGGAGCGGUGAAAUGCGUAGAGAUUGGAAAGAACACCGAUGGCGAAGGCAGGUCUCUGGGCAUUAACUGACGCUGAGGAGCGAAAGCAUGGGGAGCGAACAGG